rnacentral:misc_RNA from 1 species
UCUAGCUUAUCACUAGCGGUCCCACUAGAGUGCUCAGCCGAACUGGUGGCAACUAGUGGCAGGGGUUGCGCUCGUUUAAGGACUUAACCUUACAUCUCACGACACGAGCUGACGACAACCAUGCACCACCUGUGCUGUGGUUGUUAUAUUACUAUAACAAGGGCCGUACUUUCAUACAGCUUUCCGCAACAUGUCAAGCCCAGGUAAGGUUCUUCGUGUAGCAUCGAAUUAAACCACAUGCCUCGCUGCUUGUGCGGGCUCCCGUCAAUUCCUUUGAGUUUCAACCUUGCGGCCGUAGUCCCCAGGUGGAAUACUUAACGCGUUAGCUGCGGCGGUAAUGAGUAUGUACUCGCUACCACCAAGUAUUCAUCGUUUAGGGCUAGGACUAC